GCCUGUUCGAAGGCAAAAUAUCUGCCUCUAUCUAAAAUACUCCCUUACACCAGUUAUUCAGUUGACAGACUCUGCAGAAGUUACCUUUAGUAUUUAUCAUUAUAGUUCUGGUCUUACAUUAAACAUUGAAUAGCUUGAAUAACCUAUUUGCCACUAGUCAUUAAGAAAGCCAUAAUAAGUGUUUUAAAACCCAGGUUCACACCGUAUCUAUUUCUUAGGACUUUAGCAUUUGAUUAAUUUUCCGCUUAAAAAUAACAGAAAAACUACCUCAUCAUCUCAAGUAUUUUUUGUUUAAC
rnacentral:lncRNA from 1 species